rnacentral:rRNA from 1 species
GAUGAACGCUGGCGGCGUGCCUAAUACAUGCAAGUCGAGCGAACGGACGAGAAGCUUGCUUUUCUGAUGUUAGCGGCGGACGGGUGAGUAACACGUGGAUAACCUACCUAUAAGACUGGGAUAACUUCGGGAAACCGGAGCUAAUACCGGAUAAUAUUUUGAACCGCAUGGUUCAAAAGUGAAAGACGGUCUUGCUGUCACUUAUAGAUGGAUCCGCGCUGCAUUAGCUAGUUGGUAAGGUAACGGCUUACCAAGGCAACGAUGCAUAGCCGACCUGAGAGGGUGAUCGGCCACACUGGAACUGAGACACGGUUCAGACUCUUACGGGAGGCAGCAGUAGGGAAUCUUCCGCAAUGGGCGAAAGCCUGACGGAGCAACGCCGCGUGAGUGAUGAAGGUCUUCGGAUCGUAAAACUCUGUUAUUAGGGAAGAACAUAUGUGUAAGUAACUGUGCACAUCUUGACGGUACCUAAUCAGAAAGCCACGGCUAACUACGUG